AGCAUGUGGUUAAUUCGAUGCAACGCGAAGAACCUUACCUGGGCUUGACAUCCCGGGAAUCCCCUGGAAACAGGGAGUGCCCUUCGGGAACCCGGUGACAGGUGCUGCAUGGCUGUCGUCAGCUCGUGUCGUGAGAUGUUGGGUUAAGUCCCCGCAACGAGCGCAACCCUUGUCUUUAAUUGCCAUCAUUUAGUUGGGCACUUUAAAGAGACUGCCGGUGUUAAGCCGGAGGAAGGUGGGGAUGACGUCAAGUCCUCAUGGCCUUUAUGCCCAGGGCUACACACGUGCUACAAUGGGUGGUACAAAGAGAUGCCAACUCGCGAGAGCGCGCCAAUCUCAGAAAGCCAUCCUCAGUUCGGAUUGGAGUCUGCAACUCGACUCCAUGAAGUUGGAAUCGCUAGUAAUCGCGGAUCAGCACGCCGCGGUGAAUACGUUCCCGGGCCUU
rnacentral:rRNA from 1 species